GCAAACUUGGUCAUUUAGAGGAAGUAAAAGUCGUAACAAGGUUUCCGUAGGUGAACCUGCGGAAGGAUCAUUAGUGAACGCCCUCACGGGCUUAUAACUAUUCCAAACCUCUGUGAACCGUGCCCUUCGGGGCUAUUUUACAAACAUGGUGUAAUGAACGUCAUAUAUCAUAACAAAACAAAACUUUCAACAACGGAUCUCUUGGCUCUCAGAGACAGGCAAACUUGGUCAUUUAGAGGAAGUAAAAGUCGUAACAAGGUUUCCGUAGGUGAACCUGCGGAAGGAUCAUUAGUGAACGCCCUCACGGGCUUAUAACUAUUCCAAACCUCUGUGAACCGUGCCCUUCGGGGCUAUUUUACAAACAUGGUGUAAUGAACGUCAUAUAUCAUAACAAAACAAAACUUUCAACAACGGAUCUCUUGGCUCUCGCAUCGAUGAAGAACGCAGC
rnacentral:misc_RNA from 1 species